ensembl:lncRNA
AGACUCAUACUCCUCCUUCAGGAGCUUGGUUGAGAUACCACUUCUUUGGAAUUCUAGGACUUUCCAAGAGCUAGUUUUACAGCCAAGUAAUUUUACCAAGGACCAGGGGAAACUAGUCAUUCUGACUUUCACCAUUCUGACCAGAGCAUCGACUACUGAAUUAUCAAUUUCACAUAAGAACUGAAUUCUUCCAGGCUUGAUCUAGCACCCUGAUAAAAUCAAUCUAUCCUGCCUUUAUCCAGACUCUGACUGCCAGAAAAUUUAGGAAGAUUUUGCAAUGGGAAUCUAGAACGGAUCCUUUCUAUCUCUGGAGACUAGUCAGGCCAGCUGGAUUGUCAGACUUGCCCAUGAAGCAUGUCAGUUUCUUGCCUGAACUCACCUUGCAGACUUUCUACCCUGCCCUGCUUACCUGGGUAUAUGGACACCAGAGCUGAUGCUGGAAACAUCAGGCCAAACUAGGUCUUUGGAAAUAACUCUGCUAAGGACCUGCGCAUGUGCAGGACUGUGUGCUGAGACAGUGGCUGGAGUCACUGAUGGUGCCAGGACCUGCAAAGAGGCCAGUCCCUCGAAGAUGUCCCCCAGUGCAGCUGGCCAUGCUGGAAAGGAAAAUGGAUCAAAACAUUCUUCCUACCACCAUCUCUCUUUGGUUUUGUGCUGGUUGUUGUUCCGAGGGGCAGACCUCCUGCUGGCCAAGUCACAGAGAUGGAGGCGGGUUUCCCAGGCCUCGAUUCGGCACAAAGUCUGUUUCUGAUUUCUGGUAGGGCUCCUCACCACCUGUUCCAGGCUGCAGCUGCUGUUGUUUUAUUUUGUGUUACAGAGCUUAUUACUAUUGUUGGUUCAUCAUUACAUAAUGUUUUAUUUAUAUUCACAAAAACUUCAUGCCAUGUUGUUGUUCUUUUGAAUAGAAUGCAGAUUUCUUGGGGCUCCACAGAUGCAUGGAAACCUCUGGAUCCCCUGGAGAGGCAAGUUCUGAAUUAGGAGAAGGGACCAGUGAUAAUUCUGCUUUCCCUUCAAAGAGGGGCACAGCAUGGGCAUUGAUCAAGUCAAGCUUCAUCAUAAUCCUCUUUAAAGAUGAGUGAUGUUGAAAACUUGAAGGGAGUCUGAAAAAUACAAACUAGUGAAAUCCAGAAUAUAUUUGCUAGUGUCCAUGGAUAUAGGGAAUUUUGUGUUGUGUAAAGAAUAAGCUGUUUUAAAACUGACAUUGCCUGCUCCUUCCUUUUGGCCUGAGAGUACUCAGGCAAUAAUCGCCCAGCCAUCUUUUUGGUAGGAAAAAAACCACUUCUUUAUAGACUUGCCUCGAAAGUUGUAAGCCAUAGUUCCUCAAUAUAUCAUUGAUUAGGAGGCCCUGAAAGGCUUAUCUUGUGUUUUAAUGUGAGAAAAUAAAGCUCC